UCGGGAAUAUUGCGCAAUGGAGGAAACUCUGACGCAGUGACGCCGCGUAUAGGACGAAGGUCUUCGGAUUGUAAACUAUUGUCGUUAGGGAAGAGAAAGGACAGUACCUAAGGAGGAAGCUCCGGCUAACUACGUGCCAGCAGCCGCGGUAAUACGUAGGGAGCAAGCGUUAUCCGGAUUUAUUGGGUGUAAAGGGUGCGUAGACGGGAAAUUAAGUUAGUUGUGAAAUCCCUCGGCUCAACUGAGGAACUGCAACUAAAACUGAUUUUCUUGAGAAUUGGAGAGGAAAGCGGAAUUCCUAGUGUAGCGGUGAAAUGCGUAGAUAUUAGGAGGAACACCAGUGGCGAAGGCGGCUUUCUGGCCAGUAACUGACGUUGAGGCACGAAAGUGUGGGGAGCAAACAGG
rnacentral:rRNA from 1 species